rnacentral:sRNA from 1 species
ACUCGCUACUCUCUACAGUGUAAUAAUAACAAUAACAAUAACAAAAACAAAACAACUGGAAUAUCGCGUGGAAGGGAAGAGAGCCUGGGAGCGUGCAACAGGUCGGGUCCGCGUCUGUGCCGAGAUAAGCGGAGUGCAGUCAAGUGGACCAGGAACGCUGCGAGAGAGCCGGAGAGAGCAAGAGCCAAUGCGAAGCACGUCUGGCGCGCGUGAAGUGCGGACCGCGUAUGGCGCGCAACUUCGGCACUGGAUUCGACUGGAAGUGGAAGCUUCGUGGCUCCCCAACACACUCGCACAUCUGGGCUUUGUGUGUCCGUGCACACAGGAGCGGUCAAGAUACUAGAGCCCGCCCUAGUGUGUAAUCCCAACAGUUUAGGGAUGACUUGAAUGACCGCGGAGAUGAUGCGAUUUAAGAUGAAACAACCGCCGACUACAUAACACUCUACUGAUACCCAAACAAAACUAGCUAAUUUCUUGACAGGAUCAAGAACCAAAUCUGAGAUACCCGACCCAGAGCGCUGGAAACUAUAGCUCUGACCGCAGCUGUCAGCCUUUCCGACUAUUCGCGUGUGUGUUCCACUAACGAAAACGUUGCGACCUUGCCGUCGCCGCAUUUUACAUCGAAGCAAUCCCCCCUCCACUCCCUGUGGCCAGAACCAAGAAGUCGUAGAGGGUAACACAUAGUUGGCCUUCUUCGCGCCUCGGACCAAUGCACUUGGCGACCAACAUACCUGUUGGGUGAGCCCAUUGUGGCACAGUCAGUGCCGGCAGAAUUGCAUCACCGCCAGCGGAACUAGAAGAGGAAAAACCAGCAAGUGGAAUAACCACCACGAUAAGCAGGACACACAGAGGGCCCCACGGACAGAGCCAGCCAAGCAUUCCAGUGGAGGACCAAGCCUGCGAUUGCCCAAUUGCCAAGUGAUUCGUCUUCGAUGUCGCGGGGCAGUUAAACCACUGCUAGCUGCUGGACUAGAACUAGAUAAUUGCCUUCACGAUGGCACGUUGCAGAUAAGUAAAUCGCCUUAAGGCGGCACGUACAAGUACACAAGUGUACGUCCCGCGCU